CACAUGCAAGUCGAACGGGAAACCUUUUAUUGAAGCUUCGGCAGAUUUAGCUGGUUUCUAGUGGCGGACGGGUGAGUAACGCGUGGGUAACCUGCCUUAUACAGGGGGAUAACAACCAGAAAUGGUUGCUAAUACCGCAUAAGCGCACAGGACCGCAUGGUCCGGUGUGAAAAACUCCGGUGGUAUAAGAUGGACCCGCGUUGGAUUAGCUAGUUGGCAGGGUAACGGCCUACCAAGGCGACGAUCCAUAGCCGGCCUGAGAGGGUGAACGGCCACAUUGGGACUGAGACACGGCCCAGACCCCUACGGGAGGCAGCAGUGGGGAAUAUUGCACAAUGGGCGAAAGCCUGAUGCAGCGACGCCGCGUGAGCGAAGAAGUAUUUCGGUAUGUAAAGCUCUAUCAGCAGGGAAGAUAAUGACGGUACCUGACUAAGAAGCACCGGCUAAAUACGUGCCAGCAGCCGCGGUAAUACGUAUGGUGCAAGCGUUAUCCGGAUUUACUGGGUGUAAAGGGAGCGCAGGCGGUGCGGCAAGUCUGAUGUGAAAGCCCGGGGCUCAACCCCGGUACUGCAUUGGAAACUGUCGUACUAGAGUGUCGGAGGGGUAAGCGGAAUUCCUAGUGUAGCGGUGAAAUGCGUAGAUAUUAGGAGGAACACCAGUGGCGAAGGCGGCUUACUGGACGAUAACUGACGCUGAGGCUCGAAAGCGUGGGGAGCAAACAGG
rnacentral:rRNA from 1 species